AUUGAACGCUGGCGGCAGGCCCAACACAUGCAAGUCGGACGGUAGCACAGAGGAGCUUGCUCCUUGGGUGACGAGUGGCGGACGGGUGAGUAAUGUCUGGGGAUCUGCCCGAUAGAGGGGGAUAACCACUGGAAACGGUGGCUAAUACCGCAUAACGUCGCAAGACCAAAGAGGGGGACCUUCGGGCCUCUCACUAUCGGAUGAACCCAGAUGGGAUUAGCUAGUAGGCGGGGUAAUGGCCCACCUAGGCGACGAUCCCUAGCUGGUCUGAGAGUAUGACCAGCCACACUGGCACUGAGACACGGUCCAGACUCCUACGGGAGGCAGCAGUGGGGAAUAUUGCACAAUGGGCGCAAGCCGGAUGCAGCCAUGCCGCGUGUAUGAAGAAGGCCGUCGGGUUGUAAAGUACUUUCAGCGGGGAGGAAGGCGGUGAGGUUAAUAACCUUGCCGAUUGACGUUACCCGCAGAAGAAGCACCGGCUAACUCCGUGCCAGCAGCCGCCGUAA
rnacentral:rRNA from 1 species